rnacentral:rRNA from 1 species
CAGGUCUUGACAUCCCGAUGCUAUUUCUAGAGAUAGAAAGUUACUUCGGUACAUCGGUGACAGGUGGUGCAUGGUUGUCGUCAGCUCGUGUCGUGAGAUGUUGGGUUAAGUCCCGCAACGAGCGCAACCCCUAUUGUUAGUUGCCAUCAUCCAGUUGGGCACUCUAGCGAGACUGCCGGUAAUAAACCGGAGGAAGGUGGGGAUGACGUCAAAUCAUCAUGCCCCUUAUGACCUGGGCUACACACGUGCUACAAUGGUUGGUACAACGAGUUGCGAGUCGGUGACGGCGAGCUAAUCUCUUAAAGCCAAUCUCAGUUCGGAUUGUAGGCUGCAACUCGCCUACAUGAAGUCGGAAUCGCUAGUAAUCGCGGAUCAGC